GUGGGGAAUAUUGCGCAAUGGGCGAAAGCCUGACGCAGCUACGCCGCGUGAGUGAUGAAGGCCUUCGGGUUGUAAAGCUCUGUCGGGAGGGAAGAAGGGGCAACCCUGACGGUACCUCGCAAGAAAGCACCGGCUAACUCUGUGCCAGCAGCCGCGGUAAUACAGAGGGUGCAAGCGUUGCUCGGAUUUACUGGGCGUAAAGCGUACGCAGACGGCCACGCAGGUCGGGUGUGAAAGCCCCGGGCUCAACCCGGGAAUUGCAUUCGAAACCAUGUGGCUCGAGUGUGGGAGAGGAAAGUGGAAUUCCUGGUGUAGAGGUGAAAUUCGUAGAUAUCAGGAGGAACACCGGCGGCGAAGGCGGCUUUCUGGUCCACAACUGACGUUCAGGUACGAAAGCGUGGGGAGCAAACAGGAUUAGAAACCCGAGUAGUCC
rnacentral:rRNA from 1 species